rnacentral:rRNA from 1 species
GGGGAAUAUUGGGCAUGGAGGCAACUCUGACCCAGCAACGCCGCGUGUAGUGAUGAAGGUCUUCGGAUUGUAAAACUCUUUAAGUGGGGACGAAGAAAGUGACUGUACCCACAGAAUAAGCCUCGGCUAACUAC